AUUGAACGCUGGCGGCAGGCCUAACACAUGCAAGUCGAGCGCGCGGCGGGCGGGGGAGUAAUGUCUGGGAAACUGCCCGAUGGGGAGGGAUAACACCUGGAAACACUAGCGACUACCGCAUAUCAUCUGAUGUGCCCCGAUGGGAUUAGCUAGAAGGGGGGGUAACGGCUCACCUCGGCGACGAUCCCUAGCUGGUCUGAGAGGAUGACCAGCCACACUGGAACUGAGACACGGUCCAGACUCCUACGGGAGGCAGCAGUGGGGAAUAUUGCACAAUGGGCGCAAGCCUGAUGCAGCCAUGCCGCGUGUGUGAAGAAGGCCUUCGGGUUGUAAAGCACUUUCAGCGGGGAGGCGUUACCCGCAGAAGAAGCACCGGCUAACUCCGUGCCAGCAGCCGCGGUAAUUC
rnacentral:rRNA from 1 species